UACGUAGGGGGCGAGCGUUGUCCGGAGUUACUGGCGUAAGGGCAAGUGCAGGCGGUCCGACACGUUUUGUGUGACAGCGGGUGGCUUAACUACCCGAGGAUACGAAAGACGGUUGGACUUGAGGACUCGAGAGGGACACGGAAUUCCGGGUGGAGUGGUGAAAUGCGUAGAGAUCCGGAGGAACACCGAAGGCGAAGGCAGUGUCCUGGCGAGUGACUGACGCUGAGGUGCGAAAGCCAGGGGAGCGAACGGG
rnacentral:rRNA from 1 species